rnacentral:lncRNA from 1 species
AUAUAUUUAAUUACAUAAUAUUUAUGAACCCUAUAAGUAAAAAUAUAAAGAUAUUGUGUUUGAAAGAAGACAAAGCUCAAGACGUGUUAAAAUAAAGACUCUCGACCUGAACGUAAAAAAAGGACCUCAUUCACCAUUAAAGGUUCAUCAGGAUUAAUGUAGAAAAAAAAUGAUAUAUAUCGUGUUUUGUUUAUUUUAUAGUUGAAUGUUUUGCAUUGGACCUCAUUCACCAUGAAAGGUUCAUCAGGAUUAAUGUAGAAAAAAAAUGAUAUAUAUCGUGUUUUGUUUAUUUUAUAGUUGAAUGUUUUGCAUUGGAAGUCAAACUUAACAAAUGAACGAAGAAUGAUUUUCAC